rnacentral:rRNA from 1 species
UGGGGAAUAUUGCACAAUGGAGGGAACUCUGAUGCAGCGACGCCGCGUGAACGAAGAAGGCUUUCGAGUCGUAAAGUUCUUUUAUAUGGGAAGAUAAUGACGGUACCAUAAGAAAAAGCCCUGGCUAACUACGUGCCAGCAGCCGCGGUAAUACGUAGGGGGCUAGCGUUGUCCGGAAUCACUGGGCGUAAAGGGUUCGCAGGCGGAAAUGCAAGUCAGGUGUAAAAGGCAGUAGCUUAACUACUGUAAGCAUUUGAAACUGCAUAUCUUGAGAAGAGUAGAGGUAAGUGGAAUUUUUAGUGUGGCGGUGAAAUGCGUAGAUAUUAAAAAGAAUACCGGUGGCGAAGGCGGCUUACUGGGCUUAUUCUGACGCUGAGGAACGAAAGCGUGGGUAGCAAACAGG